rnacentral:rRNA from 1 species
AUUAACGAAUGACAAGACUGACCGUUGCUGGCGGAAACGCAUGUGCACGUCGGUCGCAAAAUCCACACACCUGUGAACGUAUGGCCUUUGGGUUUCGACCCGGGGCAACCCUUUUUUAACCCACUCUUGUAAUAGAAUGUUCAUGUGCUAAAAGCGCAAAAGCAAACAACUUUCAACAACGGAUCUCUUGGCUCUCGCAUCGAUGAAGAACGCAGCGAAAUGCGAUAAGUAAUGUGAAUUGCAGAAUUCAGUGAAUCAUCGAAUCUUUGAACGCACCUUGCACCCUUUGGUAUUCCGAAGGGUACACCCGUUUGAGUGUCAUUGUAAUCUCACCUCAAAAUUCAUUUUUUGGUGGUGGACUUGGAUGUUGCCGUGUUACGGCUCGUCUGGAAUGUCUCAGUUGUGACCCGCUCGUCGGCGUAAACAGUGUGAUAGGUAUCUUCACUGGUCAGCUUCUCCGGAGGCGCGCUUUCAGGUGGAUGUCUGGCUGCCAACCGUCUUUUAGACAAUCUCUGACAAUUUGACCUCAAA